UUUGUGGUGAGAUUCUCUCCCAGGCCACAAGACAUUUCCUGCUCGGAACCUUGUUUACUAAUUUCCACUGCUUUUAAGGCCCUGCACUGAAAAUGCAAGCUCAGGCGCCGGUGGUCGUUGUGACCCAACCUGGAGUCGGUCCCGGUCCGGCCCCCCAGAACUCCAACUGGCAGACAGGCAUGUGUGACUGUUUCAGCGACUGCGGAGUCUCUGUGGCACAUUUUGUUUCCCGUGCCUUGGGUGUCAAGUUGCAGCUGAUAUGAAUGAAUGCUGUCUGUGUGGAACAAGCGUCGCAAUGAGGACUCUCUACAGGACCCGAUAUGGCAUCCCUGGAUCUAUUUGUGAUGACUAUAUGGCAACUCUUUGCUGUCCUCAUUGUACUCUUUGCCAAAUCAAGAGAGAUAUCAACAGAAGGAGAGCCAUGCGUACUUUCUAAAAACUGAUGGUGAAAAGCUCUUACCGAAGCAACAAAAUUCAGCAGACACCUCUUCAGCUUGAGUUCUUCACCAUCUUUUGCAACUGAAAUAUGAUGGAUAUGCUUAAGUACAACUGAUGGCAUGAAAAAAAUCAAAUUUUUGAUUUAUUAUAAAUGAAUGUUGUCCCUGAACUUAGCUAAAUGGUGCAACUUAGUUUCUCCUUGCUUUCAUAUUAUCGAAUUCGAAUUUCCUGGCUUAUAAACUUUUUAAAUUACAUUUGAAAUAUAAACCAAAUGAAAUAUUUUACUGAUAAGAUUCUUCAUGCUUCUUUGCUCUCCUUAAAAUGUCUUUUUCACUAGUUAGUUCCAAGGGUCAGUCUCAUAAUUUUGUUCUUAUACUUUGAUUUCCUUUUUCUUUUUUUUUUUUUUUAAUAGAGUUGGGGGAUCUUUCUUUCUUUUUUUUUUUUUUUUUUUGAGAUAGAGUCUCGCUCUGUUGCCCAGGCUGGAGUGCAGUGGCGUGAUCUCAGCUCACUGCAACCUCCACCUCCUGGAUACAAGCGAUUCUGCUGCCUCAGUCUCCCGAGUAGCUGGGAUUACAGGUUCCCGCCACCAUGCCCAGCUAAUUUUUGUAUUUUUAGUAGAGACGGGGUUUCACCAUCUUGGUCAGGCUGGUCUCGAACUCCUGACCUCGUGAUCCACCUGCCUCGGCAUCACAAAAUGCUGGGAUUACAGGCAUGAGCCACCGCGUCCAGCCUAGAGUUGGGGGUCUUUCUAUGUUGCCCAGGCUGGUCUUGAACUCCGGGCCUCUAGCAAGCCUCUCAUCUCAGCCUCCCAAGGUGCUGGAAUUACAGGUGUGAGCCACUGCACCAUACUUUGGUUUCUUAGCAGGAGAUUUUGGUUCACAGUAACCCAGCUCUCUUUCAUCUAAGAACUUUAGAU
rnacentral:lncRNA from 1 species